CUUUUUGCAAAAGACCAUGAGUUGUCUGGUUCAACUAACUUGUGGGUCCGUUUAUAGCAAAAAACCAGUCUCAACUGUCUUUGAUUGGUUCAAUGUCAAUCCGAUCUUUUUAGAGCAUGGGGUGAGCCCAUAAUCCAGUUCACCAGGACUCUGGUUACACUGCAAAUUUUGUGUAUAAUGCGUUCACUAGUUUAACAGAAAUCAUGUGUAAUUUUUUUCUUUUAAUCUUUUUUCCUUUGUCGGUGAGAGGGGGUUGGGGUGCAAGUUGUUGGUUUUAUGGUUUAGCAGAUUUAUGACAGAGCUACACCAAAGACCAUGCGCACAGGGAAAAUUUUUGUCAGAAAAAUAGAAUAAUAGUACCUCUUGCACCCUGGUUCAAUACCAUUCCUUCUCCUUUAGUGAAGUCUUGGCACUUCGCUAACUUAUAUUGUGUGGAAAUUGUAGUAAAACCCAGGAAAGUCAUGAAUAGUGCUAGUAUUGUACUUUAGGUUUUGUCGUCUAUGGCAGUAAAAUUUCUCGUUUAAUUUGUUGAGUUUGUAUUUUCUUCAUGUGCCUGAGUCACUGUCACUGUUAAACUAGCCUCUGCAGGUGAAGAAGCACAUCAAGCAAGGGCAACGUCAAGGUCAUGAAGGGGGGGGGGGUUUAUGGUGGAAGCCCCACUGCACGUCUCAAAUGUCCAGGUUUUAGAUCCAGUCACGGGUAAGAUGUUGGCGUCUGAUUGUUCUGAUGUACCUGUGUUUUUUCUCGGUCAAAUAGUGGAUCAUAGUUGGUUUUACAGGAAACCCUAUUGUUGUUUCUAGAGUUUGAAGUUACUCCUUCGAAAACAAUCCGACAGAAUCACCUGAAUGUAAGAAAUGAUUAACAGGAUCCAAAAUGUAAUUCGAGCCCACCGACUUCACGAUAUUUCUUUAAAACGAAUUUGCUACCUUCAAUGGUGCUAAAGGCAUCCAGCAAUCAUUUCUCAGGAUAGAACGAAUUUUCGUCUCUUACGGAAGCAGCACAGCAAUUUGUAGGAGUUCCAACGAGCUCCACAAAGUGUAUUUGACUUUGAAACAAUAUCAGAAUGAGAGAGAGGAGAAUAAGAUUCAAAGCACAG
rnacentral:lncRNA from 1 species